GACGAACGCUGGCGGCGCGCUUAACACAUGCAAGUCGAACGGAAAGGCCUGCUUUCCCUUGUGGAUUGCGGGUACUCGAGUGGCGAACGGGUGAGUAACACGUGAGUGAUCUGCCCCCAACUUGGGUAUAAGCCUGGGAAACUGGGUCUAAUUCCCGAUAGGACUGCAGGGUGGUGCCUGUGGUGGAAAACGAUUUUCUAGUGGUCGGGGAUGAGCUCGCGGCCUAUCAGCUUGUUGGUGGGGUAAUGGCCUACCAAGGCGGCGACGGGUAGCCGGCCUGAGGGGGUGGACGGCCACAUUGGGACUGAGAUACGGCCCAGACUCCUACGGGAGGCAGCAGUGGGGAAUAUUGCACAAUGGGCGGAAGCCUGAUGCAGCGACGCCGCGUGGGGGAUGACGGCCUUCGGGUUGUAAACUCCUUUCGACCGCGAGGAAGCCACCUGGUUGGAAGGGUGGUGACGGUAGUGGUAGAAGAAGCACCGGCUAACUACGUG
rnacentral:rRNA from 1 species